rnacentral:rRNA from 1 species
UGGGGAAUAUUGGACAAUGGGCGAAAGCCUGAUCCAGCCAUGCCGCGUGUGUGAAGAAGGUCUUCGGAUUGUAAAGCACUUUAAGUUGGGAGGAAGGGUUGUAGAUUAAUACUCUGCAAUUUUGACGUUACCGACAGAAUAAGCACCGGCUAACUCUGUGCCAGCAGCCGCGGUAAUACAGAGGGUGCAAGCGUUAAUCGGAAUUACUGGGCGUAAAGCGCGCGUAGGUGGUUAGUUAAGUUGGAUGUGAAAUCCACGGGCUCAACCUGGGAACUGCAUUCAAAACUGACUGACUAGAGUAUGGUAGAGGGUGGUGGAAUUUCCUGUGUAGCGGUGAAAUGCGUAGAUAUAGGAAGGAACACCAGUGGCGAAGGCGACCACCUGGACUGAUACUGACACUGAGGUGCGAAAGCGUGGGGAGCAAACA